CCGCCUGCUUUCUUUUUUGCUUCUUUCAUCACGGCUCACACGGAGCUCGUGCUGCAAAUAAGCAAGCAAAAAGCUCCGUACAGCUCACACAAUCGAUAUUUAUCCCUCUAGCAUAGGUGGGCUGCUUUCUCUGCGACUCGCAUAUACACAGUAUCCCAUCCACAUAAGUCUCGACUCGAAGCAGUGACCGAUAUCCCUGCCUUCUUUCGUCCUUCACAGCACUUAUCUACGGCCACAUAGCAGGGAUGCUCAAGGUCAGCUCGAAAGAGCACUACGCUGAGAUCAAGAAGAAGGCCGAAGGCUCGUUGGGGCUUGUCGUACACUUUAGCGCCACCUGGUGUGAGCCCUGCACUGCCGUCAAUGAACACCUUAUCAAGCAAGCUGCCGAGUACGGCGACAACGUUGUCUUUGCUGAGGUAGAUUGCGGCGAAUUGGGCGACGUGUGCGAGGCGGAGGGGGUGGAGUCGGUUCCAUUCGUCGCGUACUUCCGCACCCCGCUUGUCGGCGAUGACCGUCGCGUCGAGCGCGUGGCGGAUGUAGCUGGCGCAAAGUUCGACCAGAUCGACAUGAACACUCACUCCCUGUUUGGCGAGAAGGGUGGCAACGGGGUUCAGCAGAAGGACUUUGCCACAGUGGACGAUUACCUGCACUACCUCACGAAGCGGCCUGGGGUGGUAAUGUUCAUCACCGGCACGCCAUCCCGUCCGCGCUGCGGCUUUACUGGUCGGCUGUGUGAGCUGGUGCAUCAGCUUGGCGUCCCCUUCAUCUACUACGACGUCAUGACGAGCGACGCGGUGUGCGAGCGCCUCAAGAUAUACGCCAACUGGCCGACGUAUCCGCAGGUAUACGUAGACGGUGAACUGAUCGGUGGGUGGGACAUCUGCCGUGAGCUGAACGACGAGGGCGAACUGAAGUCGACUUUAAAGCGCUGAGUACUCUACGAUCCCUACUGAUACGAAAGCACAAACACGUGGGAGCGCCUCUGGCGUGGUGUGUAGAGACUUACCAUGAGCAGAGCGCGGCGGCUGUUGAGUCGCCGCUAGGCCCAAGUCGAUCUCUGUGAAGCCAUCCCCCUCUGCAUCCAUCUCACUCAGUAGCUUGUCUUUUGCGGGUUCCUGUCUGCCGUUUUUCUUCCCUUUUGCCCGUGUUUUGUUAUUCCUGAUAAUGCGUGCCACUUC
rnacentral:misc_RNA from 1 species